GUGUUAGUAUUUUAAUUGGUUAGAAGUCUUGACUGUGAAUCAAGAGGGUGAGAGUUCAAAUCUCUCCUAACACCCU
rnacentral:tRNA from 1 species